CACGUAGGGCGCGAGCGUUGUCCGGAAUUAUUGGGCGUAAAGAGCUCGUAGGCGGCCUGUUGCGUCCGCUGUGAAAGCCCGGGGCUUAACCCCCGGGUCGGCAGUGGAUACGGGCAGGCUAGAGGUAGGUAGGGGAGAAUGGAAUUCCCGGUGUAGCGGUGAAAUGCGCAGAUAUCGGGGAGGAACACCGGUGGCGAAGGCGGUUCUCUGGGCCUUACCUGACGCUGAGGAGCGAAAGCGUGGGGAGCGAACAGG
rnacentral:rRNA from 1 species